GUCAACUGGUUGUUAUGACUCAUAGGCCCUCCCAGAAUGGUUGUUAUGCUCUGCAAGUCACUGCUGGGCACUUGUCCGUAAACCACACCCAGAGUUGUAAAGCAUAGCCCCAAUAGCUAACUUCUCUGAUUGGUUCCAUGCCAUGAUGUGGGCAUCUGACCUCCUAGUGACCAAAGCAAGGUCAGGCAAGCACGUGUUAGCCUGUCAUGGUUGCCAAAAUGGGGGGGUCCCUUUGAUGCCUUUAAUCCCUGCACUAGGGAGAUGGAGACAGGAGGAUAUGGCUGGAUGGAAAAAAGAAUAUAAGGAGGAGGAGACAGGAAUUAAGAAACUUUUGCCUCUGAAGAUUCGUGGAGACAGGGUUGCCAUUUCAGCUGGGUAGAGGUGCUGGGAUUCUACUCAGGUCCUUACACUUGCACAGCAAGCACUCUACCGACAGAACCCUUAUUCUCUCCAGGAGGUUUAAAAUGAACCAACUUACGGCAACUCAGAACUUUCUGCUUGCUGUGGGAUCCAGGACUAUCCUCUGAGUUCAGAGAUGGUGACUCCAGGAAUAUCAUCUAUUAAGCGGUGAAUUAUCAAUACGUAACCAGACUAAGUUAAAUCAUCAUGUGGCCUCCAGAUAAAUGAAGAGAGACAAGAGCCAAAGUCCAGCUCCAGCUGGCAUCCAGUUUACAGGAUACCAUGUAUUGAGAGGACUACUUUCCCAGCUGAAUUUCCAAGAGACCUUCCUUGUAUUGGACAUUAUUCCCAGACAUGAAGUUCUGCCUGUAGAUUCUGUUCAGACAGUUCCUACAUCAACAUGACCCUUAAAAUGCCAUGUGAGAGUUUGCCUUUACAGUACAUUAAAAGGAUUCCUAUGAAAUUAAUCUUUUUACUCCAUAAGUGUGUGGAUGAAAGCUUUCCAGCUCAAAAUGUUUUCUUCUGGGGAAGACUUCAAAACAUGAAUCCAAUUUCUUUAUUGUAUGUAGAGUUGCUUAGAUCUCAGUUCACUUUUAUCGGUUUUAAUAUUUUAAAAUAAAGUUAGUAUAUUUCAUAAACCCA
rnacentral:lncRNA from 1 species